CAAGAACUUACAUUCACUCUGGUGACGGUGUUCAGUUUUUCUGAGAAUAAGAUGAUUAUUACUCGGUGCAUCUCGUCUCCUCUGCAGCACUUUGAACUCAUCAUGCCAGAACUCAACAUGACAAAGAGACGAUAACUUUCUUUCUGCAACACUCGCUGUCUAACCUGAAGCUAAAUGCCCCGUCAUGACGCCUCUCCAGCGGCAGACAGACAGACAGACGCUGGUCAGUCUGAACGUAAGCAGAUAAUUCCACUAUUGCAGCAGCCUAUCGUCAGAGCUCACCUGUGUGUACAGACAGGAAAGACGAUCCAGGAGAGAAUUUAUAGACAGUUAAAGUAAAAAGUCCUGCAGCUCACGUUAACCUUCAGUAAAUAAAGAGAUGACGUCAUCAGACUGCCGCUCACUGUCAUGUACCUGUAGUUGAGUUGAGG